AUUGAACGCUGGCGGAAUGCUUUACACAUGCAAGUCGAACGGUAGAGGGGGCAACCCCUCGAGAGUGGCGAACGGGUGAGUAAUAUAUCGGAACGUGCCCAGUCGUGGGGGAUAACGUAGCGAAAGUUACGCUAAUACCGCAUACGAUCGAAGGAUGAAAGCGGGGGAUCGCACGACCUCGCGCUAUUGGAGCGGCCGAUAUCAGAUUAGGUAGUUGGUGGGGUAAAGGCUCACCAAGCCAACGAUCUGUAGCUGGUCUGAGAGGACGACCAGCCACACUGGAACUGAGACACGGUCCAGACUCCUACGGGAGGCAGCAGUGGGGAAUUUUGGACAAUGGACGCAAGUCUGAUCCAGCCAUUCCGCGUGCAGGAUGAAGGCCCUCGGGUUGUAAACUGCUUUUGUACGGAACAAAAGGUCUCUCUUAAUACGGGGGACUCAUGACGGUACCGUAAGAAUAAGCACCGGCUAACUACGUGCCAGCCGCCGCCGUAAGAC
rnacentral:rRNA from 1 species